rnacentral:rRNA from 1 species
UACGAAGGGGGCGAGCGUUGUUCGGAAUUACUGGGCGUAAAGGGCGCGUAGGCGGUGCUGUAAGUCUGUGGUGAAAUCUCUGGGCUCAACUCAGAGUCUGCCAUAGAAACUGCAGUGCUGGAGUGUAGGAGAGGUGUGUGGAACUCCGAGUGUAGAGGUGAAAUUCGUAGAUAUUCGGAAGAACACCAGUGGCGAAGGCGACACACUGGCCCGUUACUGACGCUGAGGCGCGAAAGCGUGGGGAGCAAACAGG